rnacentral:other from 1 species
UCCCUGCGGUGUGCGUGAUAUAGCGAUUUUUCAUUUACCAACACUUUUUAUACGGGAAUUCGGACUUCGUGCGCGGCGCAUACGCCCCCCAUUUAUAUGGCCAGGGGAAAUGUAAAACGCAUGAGAGAAUACCCACCUGCAUAUGCAGGUAAAAAUUAAUCCUACACACGGCACAGUGGGGCU